GGGUUGUGAGGUUAAGCGACUAAGCGUACACGGUGGAUGCCCUGGCAGUCAGAGGCGAUGAAGGACGUGCUAAUCUGCGAUAAGCGUCGGUAAGGUGAUAUGAACCGUUAUAACCGGCGAUUUCCGAAUGGGGAAACCCAGUGUGUUUCGACACACUAUCAUUAACUGAAUCCAUAGGUUAAUGAGGCGAACCGGGGGAACUGAAACAUCUAAGUACCCCGAGGAAAAGAAAUCAACCGAGAUUCCCCCAGUAGCGGCGAGCGAACGGGGAGCAGCCCAGAGCCUGAAUCAGUGUGUGUGUUAGUGGAAGCGUCUGGAAAGGCGCGCGAUACAGGGUGACAGCCCCGUACACAAAAAUGCACAUACUGUGAGCUCGAUGAGUAGGGCGGGACACGUGGUAUCCUGUCUGAAUAUGGGGGGACCAUCCUCCAAGGCUAAAUACUCCUGACUGACCGAUAGUGAACCAGUACCGUGAGGGAAAGGCGAAAAGAACCCCGGCGAGGGGAGUGAAAAAGAACCUGAAACCGUGUACGUACAAGCAGUGGGAGCCUCUUUUAUGGGGUGACUGCGUACCUUUUGUAUAAUGGGUCAGCGACUUAUAUUCUGUAGCAAGGUUAACCGAAUAGGGGAGCCGAAGGGAAACCGAGUCUUAACUGGGCGUUAAGUUGCAGGGUAUAGACCCGAAACCCGGUGAUCUAGCCAUGGGCAGGUUGAAGGUUGGGUAACACUAACUGGAGGACCGAACCGACUAAUGUUGAAAAAUUAGCGGAUGACUUGUGGCUGGGGGUGAAAGGCCAAUCAAACCGGGAGAUAGCUGGUUCUCCCCGAAAGCUAUUUAGGUAGCGCCUCGUGAAUUCAUCUCCGGGGGUAGAGCACUGUUUCGGCAAGGGGGUCAUCCCGACUUACCAACCCGAUGCAAACUGCGAAUACCGGAGAAUGUUAUCACGGGAGACACACGGCGGGUGCUAACGUCCGUCGUGAAGAGGGAAACAACCCAGACCGCCAGCUAAGGUCCCAAAGUCAUGGUUAAGUGGGAAACGAUGUGGGAAGGCCCAGACAGCCAGGAUGUUGGCUUAGAAGCAGCCAUCAUUUAAAGAAAGCGUAAUAGCUCACUGGUCGAGUCGGCCUGCGCGGAAGAUGUAACGGGGCUAAACCAUGCACCGAAGCUGCGGCAGCGACGCUUAUGCGUUGUUGGGUAGGGGAGCGUUCUGUAAGCCUGUGAAGGUGUGCUGUGAGGCAUGCUGGAGGUAUCAGAAGUGCGAAUGCUGACAUAAGUAACGAUAAAGCGGGUGAAAAGCCCGCUCGCCGGAAGACCAAGGGUUCCUGUCCAACGUUAAUCGGGGCAGGGUGAGUCGACCCCUAAGGCGAGGCCGAAAGGCGUAGUCGAUGGGAAACAGGUUAAUAUUCCUGUACUUGGUGUUACUGCGAAGGGGGGACGGAGAAGGCUAUGUUGGCCGGGCGACGGUUGUCCCGGUUUAAGCGUGUAGGCUGGUUUUCCAGGCAAAUCCGGAAAAUCAAGGCUGAGGCGUGAUGACGAGGCACUACGGUGCUGAAGCAACAAAUGCCCUGCUUCCAGGAAAAGCCUCUAAGCAUCAGGUAACAUCAAAUCGUACCCCAAACCGACACAGGUGGUCAGGUAGAGAAUACCAAGGCGCUUGAGAGAACUCGGGUGAAGGAACUAGGCAAAAUGGUGCCGUAACUUCGGGAGAAGGCACGCUGAUAUGUAGGUGAAGUCCCUCGCGGAUGGAGCUGAAAUCAGUCGAAGAUACCAGCUGGCUGCAACUGUUUAUUAAAAACACAGCACUGUGCAAACACGAAAGUGGACGUAUACGGUGUGACGCCUGCCCGGUGCCGGAAGGUUAAUUGAUGGGGUUAGCGGUAACGCGAAGCUCUUGAUCGAAGCCCCGGUAAACGGCGGCCGUAACUAUAACGGUCCUAAGGUAGCGAAAUUCCUUGUCGGGUAAGUUCCGACCUGCACGAAUGGCGUAAUGAUGGCCAGGCUGUCUCCACCCGAGACUCAGUGAAAUUGAACUCGCUGUGAAGAUGCAGUGUACCCGCGGCAAGACGGAAAGACCCCGUGAACCUUUACUAUAGCUUGACACUGAACAUUGAGCCUUGAUGUGUAGGAUAGGUGGGAGGCUUNNGGGUUGCGGACAGUGUCUGGUGGGUAGUUUGACUGGGGCGGUCUCCUCCUAAAGAGUAACGGAGGAGCACGAAGGUUGGCUAAUCCUGGUCGGACAUCAGGAGGUUAGUGCAAUGGCAUAAGCCAGCUUGACUGCGAGCGUGACGGCGCGAGCAGGUGCGAAAGCAGGUCAUAGUGAUCCGGUGGUUCUGAAUGGAAGGGCCAUCGCUCAACGGAUAAAAGGUACUCCGGGGAUAACAGGCUGAUACCGCCCAAGAGUUCAUAUCGACGGCGGUGUUUGGCACCUCGAUGUCGGCUCAUCACAUCCUGGGGCUGAAGUAGGUCCCAAGGGUAUGGCUGUUCGCCAUUUAAAGUGGUACGCGAGCUGGGUUUAGAACGUCGUGAGACAGUUCGGUCCCUAUCUGCCGUGGGCGCUGGAGAACUGAGGGGGGCUGCUCCUAGUACGAGAGGACCGGAGUGGACGCAUCACUGGUGUUCGGGUUGUCAUGCCAAUGGCACUGCCCGGUAGCUAAAUGCGGAAGAGAUAAGUGCUGAAAGCAUCUAAGCACGAAACUUGCCCCGAGAUGAGUUCUCCCUGACUCCUUGAGAGUCCUGAAGGAACGUUGAAGACGACGACGUUGAUAGGCCGGGUGUGUAAGCGCAGCGAUGCGUUGAGCUAACCGGUACUAAUGAACCGUGAGGCUUAACCUUACAAC
rnacentral:rRNA from 1 species